rnacentral:rRNA from 1 species
GACGAACGCUGGCGGCGUGCCUAAUACAUGCAAGUAGAACGCUGAAGAGAGGCGCUUGCUCUUCUUGGAUGAGUUGCGAACGGGUGAGUAACGCGUAGGUAACCUGCCUUGUAGCGGGGGAUAACUAUUGGAAACGAUAGCUAAUACCGCAUAACAAUGGAUGACACAUGUCAUUUAUUUGAAAGGGGCAAUUGCUCCACUACAAGAUGGACCUGCGUUGUAUUAGCUAGUAGGUGAGGUAAUGGCUCACCUAGGCGACGAUACAUAGCCGACCUGAGAGGGUGAGCGGCCACACUGGGACUGAGACACGGCCCAGACGCCUACGGGAGGCAGCAGGAGGGAAACUUCGGCAAUGGGGGCAACACUGACCGAGCAACGCCGCGUGAGUGAAGAAGGUUUUCGGAUCGGAAAGCUCUGUUGUAAGUCAAGAACGGGUGUGAGAGUGGAAAGUUCACACUGUGACGGUAGCUUACCAGAAAGGGACGGCUAACUACGUG